rfam:Glycine soja cultivar W05 scaffold978_71, whole genome shotgun sequence.
UUCUGAUUGGACGAUGACCAUCACGUUCUGAUUGGAUGUUAACUUUAUGGACGAUGAAAAUGUAUUGUUGUUGUCAACGUCCAAUCUGAACGUGAUAUGUAACAGUCAUCGUCU